CAUUGAAAGAGAGACAAAUGAAAAAGUAUCCAUGCCUUUUGAACUUUUUCACAUUUUGUCACACUACAACCACAAACACUAGUGUAUCUUAUUGAAAUUUUAUGGGGUAAUCUGGCACAAAAACAUGGCAUAAAUGAAUUAAAAGGAAAAUUAUGCAUAGUUUUCAAACUUUUUUAUAACUGAAAAGUGUGGUGCAAGUUUGAAUUAUAAACUUAAACCACUGAAGAGGAAAGCUAUUGUUAAAAGAACAACACAAGCCAUGCAGGAGACAAACAAACAAAAAAACGCUGUGGUCAAAGGAGCCUAACCCUAAAAAUUAUGCCUUUAUUUAAAAUUCUAUCUAUGUGUGAUGGAAAUAUAAUUCUCCAUUUCACUCUAAACAUCCCUGGUAGAUAUUGACCCUUUGCACGUGACGUCACGAUCUCCCGAACUCCGCCCACUCCGCCAUGACGGACGUUAAAACAACAUACGCUCCUUUAGGGUAGUCUAAAAACAGACAUCUGACAAAUGUCUCUUCUAUUUAGUUGGUUUCUCUUUAAAAACUGUCAUAGGGUUCUGCGCGGUCGGCUGCUCAAACAUACAAGUGUGGAAAAUCAAACUUGUCAUUUUAUUGUACAACUUUUAAUGAGGAAAGAUAAAAUGGCUAUGGAUAGCAGCCGUUUAGUAAUAAUGACCGUCAGCCGUCAAUCAUAACGACUGGCAGCCCUCGGUGUAAUCACGGAUUUACGGCGAACACUUUUUACAAGUUCUGCCGUUGACGCAGGCCUCCCCGAGGACAGUUACCAGACCAUCAGGCUUCAUCUUCAGAUACUCGACCAGCUGAACAGGCAGAGGAAGUUCCAGGUCUGCUUGACGUACUCCCUCAGCAUGUUCUCCCUCAUUUUGUCGAAAACGCCGACCUUUACGGGCAUCUCCG